UACAGAGGUUCCAAGCGUUGUUCGGAUUCAUUGGGCGUAAAGCGUGCGCAGGCGGUUUUGUAAGACAGGUGUGAAAUCCCCGGGCUUAACCUGAGAACUGCAUUUGUGACUGCAAGGCUAGAGUAUGGCAGAGGGGGGUAGAAUUCCACGUGUAGCAGUGAAAUGCGUAGAUAUGUGGAGGAAUACCGAUGGCGAAGGCAGCCCCCUGGGUCAAUACUGACGCUCAUGCACGAAAGCGUGGGGAGCAAACAGG
rnacentral:rRNA from 1 species